GCCUCAGUGGUUGUAGCUUCUGCUAAAGAGCAGCAGGGAGAAGAGACGUGUUUUCUUAAUAGCUUAGAAGUUGUCCCAGGCAAUGCUAUCAUCCAGCUCUUUUCCAGCUUUGCAGCACUCGUUCGCAUCGCCAGGUGUCACUCCAGUUCCAUAUAAAUUCCAGUUCCAUUCACUUCCAGCAUCCAUUCCAGCAUGGGUUCUCUGCUACCCUUUCCUGCCACACACAAUUCAGUCUAGAAAUGCUUAGUUCCAUUGGACUGUAUAUGCUAGUGGCGUGUAACCUGUACGACAGCUAUACUGACGAGUUGCCAGGAACAUGAAGGCUACCCUUCAUCGCUGC